rnacentral:rRNA from 1 species
CAUGCAGUCGAACGGUGAAGCAGAGCUUGCUCUGUGGAUCAGUGGCGAACGGGUGAGUAACACGUGAGCAACCUGCCCUGGACUCUGGGAUAAGCGCUGGAAACGGCGUCUAAUACUGGAUAUGAGAUGCGAUCGCAUGGUCGUGUUUGGAAAGAUUUUUCGGUCUGGGAUGGGCUCGCGGCCUAUCAGCUUGUUGGUGAGGUAAUGGCUCACCAAGGCGUCGACGGGUAGCCGGCCUGAGAGGGUGACCGGCCACACUGGGACUGAGACACGGCCCAGACUCCUACGGGAGGCAGCAGUGGGGAAUAUUGCACAAUGGGCGAAAGCCUGAUGCAGCAACGCCGCGUGAGGGAUGACGGCCUUCGGGUUGUAAACCUCUUUUGGUAGGGAAGAAGCCUUCGGGUGACGGUACCUGCAGAAAAAGCGCCGGCUAACUACGUGCCAGCAGCCGCGGUAAUACGUAGGGCGCAAGCGUUAUCCGGAAUUAUUGGGCGUAAAGAGCUCGUAGGCGGUCUGUCGCGUCUGCUGUGAAAUCCCGAGGCUCAACCUCGGGCUUGCAGUGGGUACGGGCAGACUAGAGUGCGGUAGGGGAGAUUGGAAUUCCUGGUGUAGCGGUGGAAUGCGCAGAUAUCAGGAGGAACACCGAUGGCGAAGGCAGAUCUCUGGGCCGUUACUGACGCUGAGGAGCGAAAGGGUGGGGAGCAAACAGGCUUAGAUACCCUGGUAGUCCACCCCGUAAACGUUGGGAACUAGUUGUGGGGUCCUUUCCACGGAUUCCGUGACGUAGCUAACGCAUUAAGUUCCCCGCCUGGGGGAGUACGGCCGCAAGGCUAAACUCAAAGGAAUGACGGGGA